UUUUUAUUUUUUCCUCUGAAGAGCAGCCGAGCACUACUCCUUCUCUUUAGAACUUCUUCAAUAUGUUGAAUAUCUGUUCACUCUUUUUUCUUCUUCUUUCUGUUGAAUCUCUAUUGAGUCAGGUACUAAACCCCUCCAUCUUUUUCAUCUUCUCCACAAAACGCAGAGCUCUCCAACAAACCUAGAGACAACAACAACAAUUUGUUUCUGAUUAAACAAACCCCCGACAACAUCUCUUAUACCAAGAAACAAAAGUAGUCGAUCUAUUCAAGUUUUUCUUUGUGAUUCCAGUGAUAUUGUAGGUCUUACCAAGAUGUCCACAUCAAAUGCAACUCCAACAAGUACAGCCGAAGCGGUUGAAGUUGGUGAUAGCAAAAGAAGCACGGCAAAGUGAGAUCUGAUGUUUGGUUGGAAAUGACAAGGAUUAGUGAAACUCAUGCUCAAUGUCAUCACUGCAAGGGAAAAUAUGCUUCUCACAAUGACGUCAAUGGAACUGCUGGAUUACGAAAGCAUUUGAAUAGAUGUCCAAGAAAUCCUAACAAGAAAAAAGAUUAGUGAAACUCAUGCUGAAUGUCAUCAUUGCAGCCAUCCUUUUUUGUUUGCAAGAUGAUUGCGUUUCAUUUAUUGUCGUAGAGACAGACUUAUGGAAAUGUUGGUUUUACUUUUUAGUACUUUGUGACAAAAUGAACUUAUGGGAAUGUUGAACUUAAGUAUGUAAUGUUGAACAUUGAA